GUGGGGAAUUUUGGACAAUGGGGGCAACCCUGAUCCAGCAAUGCCGCGUGUGUGAAGAAGGCCUUCGGGUUGUAAAGCACUUUUGUCCGGGAAGAAAUCGCACCUGAUAAUACCGGGUGUGGAUGACGGUACCGGAAGAAUAAGGACCGGCUAACUACGUGCCAGCAGCCGCGGUAAUACGUAGGGUCCAAGCGUUAAUCGGAAUUACUGGGCGUAAAGCGUGCGCAGGCGGUUGUGCAAGACCGAUGUGAAAUCCCCGGGCUUAACCUGGGAAUUGCAUUGGUGACUGCACGGCUAGAGUGUGUCAGAGGGGGGUAGAAUUCCACGUGUAGCAGUGAAAUGCGUAGAGAUGUGGAGGAAUACCGAUGGCGAAGGCAGCCCCCUGGGAUAACACUGACGCUCAUGCACGAAAGCGUGGGGAGCAAACAGGAUUAGAUACCCGGGUAGUCC
rnacentral:rRNA from 1 species